rnacentral:rRNA from 1 species
GACGAACGCUGGCGGCGUGCUUAACACAUGCAAGUCGAACGGAAAGGCCCAGCUUGCUGGGUGCUCGAGUGGCGAACGGGUGAGUAACACGUGGGUGAUCUGCCCCUAACUUCGGGAUAAGCUUGGUAAACUGGGUCUAAUACCGGAUAGGACAAUCGUUUAGUGUCGGUUGUGGAAAGUUUUUUCGGUUAGGGAUGAGCCCGCGGCCUAUCAGCUUGCUGGUGGGGUAAUGGCCUACCAAGGCGUCGACGGGUAGCCGGCCUGAGAGGGUGGACGGCCACAUUGGGACUGAGAUACGGCCCAGACUCCUACGGGAGGCAGCAGUGGGGAAUAUUGCACAAUGGGCGCAAGCCUGAUGCAGCGACGCCGCGUGGGGGAUGACGGCCUUCGGGUUGUAAACCUCUUUCGACAGGGACGAAGCUUUGGUGACGGUACCUGUAGAAGAAGCACCGGCUAACUACGUG